rnacentral:lncRNA from 1 species
GACUUGAAUGUGUAGAGUCACCAUUUCUUUAUAAUAGCCUCACCGUGCCUACAGAUACAGUUCAUACUUGGAAGAGCCCUUAUUUUAUGGAAGAAGCUCUGAGCUUGCAGGAACUACAGAGAAACAGCUGGCAGGACACAGUGGGCUUCAUAUUCCAAUAACAUGCCUUUGAUUGGAGAUAAUGCAAGAGAACGCAUGCCAUGCGAAUCAGAGUCUCAUACACCAGAUUAUAACCUCAAGUUCCUGGUGCUAGGACCAUGGACCACUUUUAUGGCAUCCCUGCUUCCCGCCUUGAUGGACUAUAGCCUCUCAGCAGUGAGCCAGAAUAAAUCAUUCAUCUUGUCAGGCAGUGUUCACAGGUGUGAUAACCAUGGAGCUCACAUAAU